UACAGAGGGUGCGAGCGUUGUCCGGAAUCACUGGGCGUAAAGGGCGCGUAGGCGGCCCGAUAAGUAGGGGGUGAAAUCUUGCGGCUCAACCGCAAGGCUGCCUUCUAAACUGUCGGGCUGGAGCACGGUAGAGGCAGAUGGAAUUCCCGGUGUAGCGGUGGAAUGCGUAGAGAUCGGGAAGAACACCGGUGGCGAAGGCGGCGUUCUGGACUGUUACUGACACUGAGGAACGAAAGCCAGGGGAGCAAACGGG
rnacentral:rRNA from 1 species